GUCUAUAGCCAUACCACCCUGAAUGUGCCUGAUUUCAUCUGAUCUCAGAAGCUAAGCAGGGUUGGGGCUUGGGUGGGAAAAAUAUUUAGUGGACACUGACU
ensembl:rRNA 5S_rRNA 5S ribosomal RNA